rnacentral:rRNA from 1 species
ACGCUCGACACCUACGGGAGGCAGCAGUGGGGAAUAUUGCACAAUGGGGGAAACCCUGAUGCAGCGACGCCGCGUGGAGGAAGAAGGUCUUCGGAUUGUAAAACUCCUGUUGUUGGGGAAAAAGAGGAUGGUACCCAACAAGGAAGUGACGGCUAACUACGUGCCACAGCCGCGGUAAUCUGAGCGGGCUGGCAAGGC